rnacentral:rRNA from 1 species
UACAGAGGGGGCAAGCGUUGUUCGGAAUUACUGGGCGUAAAGGGCGCGUAGGCGGCCGCCUAAGUCAGACGUGAAAUCCCUCGGCUCAACCGGGGAACUGCGUCUGAUACUGGGUGGCUUGAAUUCGGGAGAGGGAUGCGGAAUUCCAGGUGUAGCGGUGAAAUGCGUAGAUAUCAGGAGGAACGCCAAUGGCGAAGGCAAGUCUCUGGACAGUUCCUGACGCUCAUGCACGAAGGCCAGGGGAGCAAACGGG